GAUGAACGCUGGCGGCGUGCAUAACACAUUCAAGUCGAACGGUGACGAGGACUUCGGUCCUCUGAUCAGUGGCGGACGGGUGAGUAACGCGUGAGCAACCUGCCCUAUAUUGCGGGAUAACAACCGGAAACAGUUGCUAAUACCGCAUGACGUAUUCGGAUCGCAUGUUCUGAAUACCAAAGAAUUUUGAUAUAGGAUGGGCUCGCGUCCGAUUAGGCAGUUGGUGGGGUAACGGCCCACCAAACCGACGAUCGGUAGCCGAACUGAGAGGUUGAGCGGCCACAUUGGAACUGAGAUACGGUCCAGACUCCUACGGGAGGCAGCAGUGGGGAAUAUUGCACAAUGGAGGAAACUCUGAUGCAGCAACGCCGCGUGAGGGAAGAAGGUUUUCGGAUUGUAAACUUCUUUUAUACGGGAAUAACACCAUCUACGUGUAGAUGUCUGCAUGUACCGUAUGAAUAAGCAUCGGCUAACUCCGUGCCAGCAGCC
rnacentral:rRNA from 1 species